GAAACGCCCCAAUUUUCAUGAUGCUAGCGAACCCAAGCUCGGCCAAAGCAUGCUUUGUGCUUCUUUCUUGAUACUGGGCAACAGGGUAGUCUGUGAGAUGAAUAAAAGACUCAUUGCCUCUAUCAUUGGAACACCAAGCCUAAAUAAAAAUCCUCUCAAAAAGGAGGUGGAACGUAGACUACUAGACAGCAGCCACAGCGGCAGAACCGUCCGUGCCUUACUGUGCUGCUGAACUCAUCCACCUAACAAUGUGAACCUUGAGACCUGUAAAGCACCAACUCAGCUCAUGCUACUUUUAACAAAAGGAUGACCGGGAAGUCCUGCAAAGGCUCCUCCUUUCACUUUGGAGGUGAAAAGAAGACACUGAGCUGUGUUUGGACCCAGGGAAGACGCUGUGAUUUUAAAGCUUGUUGUACUGGGAAGAGCAUGUGGUGAGAGGAGGAGGGACGGCUCCUAAGAGACCUGAGCACUGCAGGGAUCCUGCAGGUGCCUAAGUCCCUGUCACAGGUUUUCCUGUCUACCUGUGCUCUGACUCCAUGUUUUCUGACAUACACAGGACUUCCUCCUGCAGCCCGGCUCCCUCAAAUGCCCUGUGUGGGAUGCAGGAAGGAGCAGCUGUGGUGGAGAAAUAGCCUGUGUCACUCAGCUGUGACACGAGGCCUGGGCUGUGACAGCCAGUGGGAAAGACACUGGUUUGGCAGCAGGUCUUCGGGUGCCGAGGCGGGGUGGCCAUCUCUGGGGUCCUGUCUGGUACCAGUCAAGUGCUGAUGUGCCUGAGGGACCUUUAACGGGGACCUGGAUCAUGGGUGGUGACUGGCAAUCACAAAAAUGGCCCUCCUCUGGUCAACUGACCAAGAAGGCAUCCAGUCUCUGGUCUCUGCUGCCUGUUUCUUGUUUCUGGAAAGCACAUGCUAACAAACAAAAACCAAACUCCAAGAGAGGUAUUUCCAGUGUGGGCUGGGCGGUAGGAAGCUCUUGUUAAAACCCCUCUACCUGAUCGCUCAUACAUUUCUUUCAAC
rnacentral:lncRNA from 1 species